rnacentral:sRNA from 1 species
UUUUUGUAAGUGUACAUUUUGUACCAGUUCAUGUGUGAGAACUCAGUACGAUACUGUGUAUUGUUGAAUAGACAAGUUAAUUUGAACAGCAAGUUUCCUUGGAUGUGAUUACUACCAAUAUACGGGGUACUCCAAAUUAAAUAUCUCCAACAUUCUGUAUGCAUGAGAUAUACAUCCACUUGUAUAUGGCCAGAUACUGGUAAAUCGAUUCAAGUAAUCUAAUGUAGGCCCAGAAAAAAGAUAGCUUGGAUUUUUUGAAAUUCUGUACUGGUGUUUAAUGAAUGGUCAAAUCUUUAUGCAUUUGGAACGCACAAAAAUUAUCUAAUGAGCUAAUUUAUAGGUUAUAUAUAUAUUGUACAUUAUACAGCAAAGCUUGAUUUAUAAGCUAAGCUGUUCCAUAGCAUUCUAUGGUUUGAUGUUAAAGCUAAAAUAUUUAUGACUGUUCAAUAUCCUGCUGUUAUAUACUCUAUGUUUACAUCUAGUCAAAUAAAAGAUGAAAGCUUG